CCUACGGGAGGCUGCAGUGAGGAAUAUUGGUCAAUGGACGAGAGUCUGAACCAGCCAAGUAGCGUGAAGGAUGACUGCCCUAUGGGUUGUAAACUUCUUUUAUAUGGGAAUAAAAUGUUCCACGUGUGGGAUUUUGUAUGUACCAUAUGAAUAAGGAUCGGCUAACUCCGUGCCAGCAGCCGCGGUAAUACGGAGGAUCCGAGCGUUAUCCGGAUUUAUUGGGUUUAAAGGGAGCGUAGGUGGAUUGUUAAGUCAGUUGUGAAAGUUUGCGGCUCAACCGUAAAAUUGCAGUUGAAACUGGCAGUCUUGAGUACAGUAGAGGUGGGCGGAAUUCGUGGUGUAGCGGUGAAAUGCUUAGAUAUCACGAAGAACUCCGAUUGUGAAGGCAGUUCACUGGACUGCAACUGACACUGAGGCUCGAAAGUGUGGGUAUCAAACAGGAUUAGAUACCCUUGUAGUC
rnacentral:rRNA from 1 species